rnacentral:rRNA from 1 species
AUACGUAGGGUGCGAGCGUUGUCCGGAAUUACUGGGCGUAAAGCGCUCGUAGGUGGUUUGUCACGUCGUCUGUGAAAUUCCGGGGCUUAACUCCGGGCGUGCAGGCGAUACGGGCAUAACUGGAGUCCUGUAGGGGAGACUGGAAUUCCUGGUGUAGCGGUGAAAUGCGCAGAUAUCAGGAGGAACACCGGUGGCGAAGGCGGGUCUCUGGGCAGUAACUGACGCUGAGGAGCGAAAGCAUGGGUAGCGAACAGGAUUAGAUACCCUGGUAGUCCAUGCCGUAAACGGUGGGCGCUAGGUGUAGGGGUCUUCCACGACUUCUGUGCCGUAGCUAACGCAUUAAGCGCCCCGCCUGGGGAGUACGGCCGCAAGGCUAAAACUCAAAGGAAUUGACGGG